rnacentral:rRNA from 1 species
AUUUUCGACAAUGGGGGGAACCCUGAUCGAGCCAUCCCGCGUGUGGGACGAAGGCCUUCGGGUUGUAAACCACUUUUCUCAACGAAGAAAAGUCUUAGGCUAAUACCUUAAGAUGCUGACGGUAGUUGAGGAAUAAGCACCGGCUNACUAUGUGCCAGCAGCCGCGGUAAUACAUAGGGUGCAAGCGUUAAUCGGAAUUACUGGGCGUAAAGGGUGCGCAGGCGGCUUGGAAAGAACGGUGUGAAAUCCCGGGGCUCAACCUCGGAACUGCACUAUUAACUAUCAAGCUAGAGUAUGUCAGAGGGGGGUGGAAUUCCGCGUGUAGCAGUGAAAUGCGUAGAUAUGCGGAGGAACACCAAUGGCGAAGGCAGCCCCCUGGCAUCAUACUGACACUGAGGUUCGAAAGCGUGGGUAGCAAA